CAUAUACUCCCUCCGUCCCGGAUUACUUGUUGCAGAAAUGGAGAGAAAUAGAUGUAUCUAGAACUAAAAAUACGUCUAGAUACAUCCAUUUCUCUGACAAGUAAUUCCGGGCAGAGGGAGUAUAUU
rfam:Hordeum vulgare subsp. vulgare, WGS project CAJW01000000 data, contig: morex_contig_2550488